rnacentral:sRNA from 1 species
UACAUGUGAGGGGAGUUUCAAAGUACUAUCAAUAAUAUGUACAGUGCAAUUGGGAAUAUGGUGAUAUUUGUGGACAAAACUCCGGCUGGGAACAACAAUCAUGCCAGUGUCAUUUGGGGCUUGACAAACAUGAAUAAUUUCAUAUUUGUAUCCUUCCUUCCUGUCACCCGUCGUGGGUAUGAAUUUGGCCGUAUAAAUACCAGCGACCAGCAAGGUGUUUCAUUCUUUGCAAAUUCUCUUGUUCUCUUCUUUUGCAACUUCUUCGCGUGUACCAUUUGGGAAAACUUUUCCUUCUUGAUAACCCAUUGGCUGUUGCAACAAUAUCCCAAGGUUGACUUGUUCUCAAAUUAUAUACAUACCACCAUCCAUC